ACGAUCACAUCCCGAUAAAAAACUGGUUCCCGUACGAUCACCGUAGUUAAGUAACGUCGAGCCUGGUCAGUAUCUAGACGGGUGACCGUUUGGAAAUGCCCGGUGCUGUAAG